CCUAAUUGCGUAAAUAUCUUUAAGACUGAAAAUACACAUGUAAACGAUAUAUGUACUGCAGUUUAUCUAUUGCUGAUAAAUUUACCAUAGGUGUAGACUUUAUUUCAGAUAAAAUAAAAAAAUUAAUCAGUUCUUACAACCCAAUGUAAAAAAACUUUUGCUAUGUAACUGUUAAAGCACUUGAAAAUGCAUGGAUGCCAUUGCCAACAUUUAAAAUUCUUUUGAAUAAAAAAAUAGUCUAAAAUUUUAGCGUAAAAAAUACAUACCUAUGUAUAUAAAAUAUAUAUAUAAAUCAUGUAGUUUAUACCUAACUACUUACUCUUAAAUUAUCAUUGUAUUUACCGAAAUAUACAUUUUUUAAAUUUGUGUAUAUGGCCAUCAACAUAACAAAAUACAGUUCAUCCCUCCCACCACUGGAAAAAGGUUGAGCACAUCACUGGUAGGUACCUUAAAAAUUAAUGGUAAUUAUAGGUAAUUCAUAUUUAUCUGUUACCUUUUAGGCACUUAGAAAUGUAUGGAUACCAUUGCAAACAUAUAAGAUUCUUUUUAAUAAAAAAGUUGUUAAAAAGUUUAAGUGUCAUAAAUAGAUACCUAUGUAUAUAAAAUAUAUAUAUAAAUGAUGUAUUUCAUACCUAAAUACUUACUCCUAAAAUAUCAAUGUAUAUACCAAAAUAUACAUUUUUUAAAUUUGUGUAUAUGGCCAUCAACAUAACAAAAUACAGAUCAUCCCUCCCUCCACUGGAAAAAGGUUGAGCACACCACUGGUAGGUACCUUAAAAAAUUAAUGGUAAUUAUAGGUAAUUCAUAUUUAUCUGUUACCUUUUAGGCACU